UAGUAUUAGUUAUGUUCUUGAAAAUUAAAAGAGUUGGCGGUAUUUUAGUCUAUUCAGAGGAACCUGUCCUGUAAUUGAUGGUCCACGAUCUUUAUUACUUAAUUUAUAUUAGUUUGCAUAUCGCCGUGAGUUGAAUAUUUUUUAAAAAUUUUAAUGUUCAAGAUUUUCAUAAGAAGGGAAUUCAGGUCAAGAUGUAGCUUAUAGUUAAGAAGAGAUGGGUUACAAUAAAUUUAUUUAUACGGAUUAAAUUAUUGAAAUUUAUUUUGAAGGUGGAUUUGAAGGUAAU
rnacentral:rRNA from 1 species